AUGGCGGAGGAGAAUCAGACGGUGCUGGUACGGUGCGCGGACCUCGUCCGGGUCCAGCUGCCGGCGUCGCUGGCGCAGCGGGCGGGGCGCGUCGCGGCGGCGCUGGAAGCCGGGGAGCGCGUGGUGGAGCUGCCGCGAGGGGUCUCCGGCAAGGGCCUGGCGACGGCGACGGCGUACUACGAGGCGCGCGCGGAGGCGGAGGCGUGCGGCGUGGAUGGUGCCGAGUUCGACGGCGAGUUCGUUCAAGGGCUGACGCACGACGCGGCCAUCGACCUCAUCUACGCCGCCCACCACCUCGGCGACCAGGCGCUCUUCAACCUCUUUGUGGGCUACAGGGCUAAUUGCUUCUAA
rnacentral:rRNA from 1 species